rnacentral:lncRNA from 1 species
AGCUGUUAAAUUGGUACAGUUACUCAUAUAAAUCCAUGCAUGGAGUUUAAUGACUUACCCAAGCCCGGAACCUCAAUGAGAGUUUGGGUGACUCCCUUACAUUCAGUUUUCUCAUAUUUGACAUUUCCAAAAAACUGGGCAUUGUUUUCAAUGCAGGGCAAUUAGAGGCGUACAAAAAUUUCAAAUUUGUUGGUAAAUCAAGGAUUGUAUGAAGGUUAAAGCGUUGAUCUAACCGUAGAGUUUCAAGCUUUGACAGACUACUGAGGUUGGGUAGAGCAUAAAAAUCAUUUCGUCGAACAUCCAAAUAUUGCAAGGAAAUUAGACUCCCAAGACCCAUAACGAUUGCAUCAUCAUCUAUGUCGCACAAAUAGCAGUGGAACGAAUAGGGAGAAUGAACACACCCAAACCUUACGGUUAGAGAUAAGCGAGUGAGAUUCUUCAAUCUUAGUAUGGAAGGUGGUACUUCUCUUAUGGUUGUUUCCUCUGCUUCAAGUAUUCUCAAUGAUAUCAUCUCCCCUAAAUCCUUAUGCAGUUUACUGAAUUUUGAACAGUAAUUAAGACAGAGUGAACAGAUUUGGACCUUUAGAAAUCCCUUGGAAGAGAACUAAGCAUUCUGCAUCCGUUUAGGUUCACCAAAGAAAGUCUUUUAAGACGACCAAUGUAGGGGUGAAUCUCAGACAAAUUGAUACAGCGUUCCAAUAUCAACUCUUCAAGAUUUGGGACUUGUGAAAAGUCCAGUGAUUUAAUUAGGUAAUCAGAAAAACUAA